CCUACGGGUGGCAGCAGUGAGGAAUAUUGGUCAAUGGCCGUAAGGCUGAACCAGCCAAGUAGCGUGAGGGACGACGGCCCUAUGGGUUGUAAACUUCUUUUAUGCGGGGAUAAAGGUAUCCACGUGUGGAUGUUUGCAGGUACCGCAUGAAUAAGGACCGGCUAAUUCCGUGCCAGCAGCCGCGGUAAUACGGAGGGUCCGGGCGUUAUCCGGAUUUAUUGGGUUUAAAGGGAGCGUAGGCCGUUUGUUAAGCGUGCUGUGAAAUUUUUUGGCUCAACCAUGAGAUUGCCGCGCGAACUGGAGACCUUGAGUGCGCUGAAGGCAGGCGGAAUUCGUGGUGUAGCGGUGAAAUGCUUAGAUAUCACGAAGAACCCCGAUUGCGAAGGCAGCUUGCCACAGCGUAACUGACGCUGAAGCACGAAAGCGCGGGUAUCGAACAGGAUUAGAUACCCCAGUAGUC
rnacentral:rRNA from 1 species